UCACUACUUGCGUAGGCAGUCUUGCUAGAGUCCCCGCCAUCACGCGCUGGUAACUAGCAACAGGGGUUGCGCUCGUUGCGGGACUUAACCCAACACCUCACGGCACGAGCUGACGACAGCCGUGCAGCACCUUCCAACGCGCCCCGAAGGGACCCUCCUUUUCGGGAGGUAGCACGUUGGAUUUAGCCCAGGUAAGGUUCCUCGCGUUGCAUCGAAUUAAGCCACAUGCUCCACCGCUUGUGCGGGCCCCCGUCAAUUCUUUUGAGUUUUAACCUUGCGGCCGUACUCCCCAGGCGGAGAACUUAUCGCGUUAGCUUCGCCACUAAAGGCUUCAAUGCCUCCAACGGCUAGUUCUCAUCGUUUAGGGCGUGGACUAC
rnacentral:misc_RNA from 1 species